UAUGUAUAUGUAUGAUCAUUCAUUUCUCAAUCAACCACCAAAUUGAUGUCAACAAAGCCAUGAGGAUUGUCUCACAAGUCUUUCAUUUUCCCUCUCUUUAGGCCAGAGACCAGUAAACCAUUUGAAAUAUGGAUGUGCAAACCAGUAAAUAAAUCAUGAAGUUACAUACUAGUCUGCUUUCGCACUCAUUCGGAACUAUCAAUGAUACUUACUGCAGGUGUGGUGUAUACAUUAUACUAAAGUGAAGGCUAGAUCAAUAAGAAAUUCAAAAUGUUUAAUCACAUUUGGGGCUUGAUGAUGCCAAAGAAAGACCAUACCAAUUAUCAUGAACAGUAAAAUGUGAACAAGAACAAGCAUACAUUUAAGAAAGCAGAGAAGCAUCAUUAAAAUAAAGUAUUCUUCUUACUAUUCUAUGUUGUUGGAAAAUGGACCAAAAUAAAAAAGGAACCAUAUAUGGUUAACGUCACAACAAGAGUAUUUGUGCAUUUGUACAUCAUAGGAUAUUGGGAAGACAUCAGCAGAGAAGUGCAAAUAUUUUUUUUUUUUUUUGAGGAAAGGAACAGAGAAGUGCAAGUCAAAAAGGAGAAAAAAUGAAAAGAGAGAGAUCAAAAGGAAUGCAAUCUAAUUAAUUGUCUAAGGAGACUACUAUGCUACAUUUAGCCAUUGGUUGAAUAGGCAGCUUGUUUUAUAGUACAACUUUAAAUUUUCCAAGAUUUAGAAUUUUCCUACUGAAGAAAACUAAUUUCUAAAGCAACUAUUACCAUCUUCAUCCCAACGGUAAGCAGCUCCAUACUAAGGAAAGAGUGAAAUAAGUGUGCUUUACUUAUAGAAGCCCAUUCCUGUCCAGAGUGAUUAGUAAGUUGUUUCACCAUGACCCCCAUUAUUGUGACUGAAAAAAGAAAAAUAAAAGAAGAAAAUAUUAGCCGAACACAAUAGUAGCACCUAAGAAGUCCAACUUAAGAGGCUUCAUACCCUGCACAAAUCGGAAAGUUUUUAAAAAUUUCAUGUUUCAAAUGAAGAUUGUCCAUUAAAAAAUUACACACAUAAUGUAUGUAAAGCAAUUAAAACAAAAAAAAAAAAAGCCAGAAACAAUCCAACCAUCAAUAACAUAAAACUUUUGUAAUGCUGGUAAAGUGAAUGAGAAGCAGAACAUACAUUUCACGUAACAAUUCUCGUACUUCCUUCCAAUAACAAUUCAUAAUGCAGGUAGGUAUCUUGAAAAAUUAUAUCAUACAUUUCUCUUAUCAAUGGGGCAGACACUCAACAACAAAACACAGACUUAUUGUAUUUGUUGCACAAAUAAGAAAGAAGAUAACAAUUUUAAAUUAACCAACAAGUUUUAUCGUAAUACACACUAUCAACUAUGAAUUAGCAUACCUUUAGAAGUCCUGAACUUAUUCACAGCCAUUCAAAGAGAAUCAUCCGAUAGAAUCAACCGUGACAAUGCUCUAGUGCUUAACCUGCGAAAAAUAGAUCAAGCAGAGCUUGCAUUCCCUGAAGUUAACCACAAAAAAAAAACAUUACGAUGACUUAAAUUUUAACAGAAAACAAAAAAACAAAGCAAGAGUGAAUAGAGUAAUACCAAAGCAAAUUUAAGAUUGUUAGGUCCAAUUUGUGGUCCAACUUCUGAACGUCUAAUAGUAGACUUAGGAGGAAGGAUUUGAAGAAGCUGUGGCAGCGGCGAAUACGCAUCAAGAUUCACAUUGCUCCUCACAUUGAGGGCUAAAAGAGUGCGGAGGCGCGACAAAGCUGACGCGCGAUUCUUGUGCUGCGACCGGUCUUCGGCGGCAUGCGCUAUGACGUCGGUCGGUACUAUUAAGUUUUAUACGAAACUGUGAUAUUGUUUGGUUACUAAGAAAAUAGGAAGAAAGAAAACUUCUGUAAGCUGAGAAUUCUAUUAUUAUUGAUCUGAAUGAAUCUGGAGGUUACAAGCCCUUUUAUAUGUGCANNNNNNNNNNNNNNNNNNNNNNNNNNNNNNNNNNNNNNNNNNNNNNNNNNNNNNNNNNNNNNNNNNNNNNNNNNNNNNNNNNNNNNNNNNNNNNNNNNNNNNNNNNNNNNNNNNNNNNNNNNNNNNNNNNNNNNNNNNNNNNNNNNNNNNNNNNNNNNNNNNNNNNNNNNNNNNNNNNNNNNNNNNNNNNNNNNNNNNNNNNNNNNNNNNNNNNNNNNNNNNNNNNNNNNNNNNNNNNNNNNNNNNNNNNNNNNNNNNNNNNNNNNNNNNNNNNNNNNNNNNNNNNNNNNNNNNNNNNNNNNNNNNNNNNNNNNNNNNNNNNNNNNNNNNNNNNNNNNNNNNNNNNNNNNNNNNNNNNNNNNNNNNNNNNNNNNNNNNNNNNNNNNNNNNNNNNNNNNNNNNNNNNNNNNNNNNNNNNNNNNNNNNNNNNNNNNNNNNNNNNNNNNNNNNNNNNNNNNNNNNNNNNNNNNNNNNNNNNNNNNNNNNNNNNNNNNNNNNNNNNNNNNNNNNNNNNNNNNNNNNNNNNNNNNNNNNNNNNNNNNNNNNNNNNNNNNNNNNNNNNNNNNNNNNNNNNNNNNNNNNNNNNNNNNNNNNNNNNNNNNNNNNNNNNNNNNNNNNNNNNNNNNNNNNNNNNNNNNNNNNNAAGUUGAGCCAAGCUUACUAAUUACCUCUUCACAAGCCUUGUAUUUGAUCCAGUGAUGAGUAUGUCAUCCACAUAAAUCAGAACAACCAAAAUAUCAGCCCCAGUAUGUUUAAUAAAGAGAGAAGUAUCAGACUUAGAAGUUUGAAAACCCCAUUGCACCAGUGAACCUUUUAGCUGAUCAUACCAGGCCCUUGGAGCUUGUUUGAGGCCAUAUAAUGCCUUGUUCAACUUGCAUAUAUGAGAAGGAAAUCUGGAAUCAAUGAAACCCUCUGGUUGGUGCAUAUAUACAUCUUCAGUAAGUACUCCAUUCAAGAAGGCGUUAUUGAUAUCUAGUUGCCUAAUAGUCCAGUGCUGCAUUACUGCUAAGCUGAGAAUAAUUCUGACUAUACAAGGCUUUACAACAGGGCUAAAGGUUUCAAAGAAAUCUACUCCAUGUGUUUGGUGAAAGCCGUUAGCCACCAAGCAUGCUUUGUACUUAGAAAUGCUGCCAUCUGGAUUGUAUUUGACUCUGAAAAUCCAUUUGUUACCUACAAUCUUGUUAGCUGAAUCAGAAGGAACCAUAGUCUAUGUCUGAUUUCUAUGUAAAGCAUCCACCUCUUCUUUCAUAGCCAUAUACCAUUUCUGACUAGACAGUGCUGCCUUGACACUUGUUAGUUCUAUGUCCUAAGUUGCUGCUAAAUAGGUUUUGGGUUUGAAUAUUCCAGAUUUUGCUCUAGUCAUUAUAGGAUGUAUAGAAAUGGAAGGUCUGGAAGAGAUAGAUGGGAUAUUUGUUGAUGCUGGUGAUUGGCUUAAAGGUGAACUUGGCUCAAGGGUAACAGCAGGGAGUUGAGUUCCACUUCUGAAGUUGCUAUAGGUGGUGCUACUACAUUACUGUCAUCAAGAUGAGGAUUUGACAAAGAAAAAUGAGUGAAAGACUGAUUUGCAGGAGUGACACAUUUUGUUGGAAUAGAGGAAGAGUUGUUGGAAGCAGAAAACAACUCUGGAUAUGAAAAUUCAGACUCAUUAAACACAACAUGUCUGGCAAUGUAAAUUCUACCUGAUUUUUCUAGACACUUAUAACCUUUAUGUACAAGAUUGUAGCAAAAAAAAAAAACGCAUUUUUGUGUAUAGAAGUCUAAUUUGUGUUGAUUAUAAGGUCUCAAUAAUGGAAAGCAUGAGCAACCAAAAACUUUAAGGAACUGAUAAUCAAGUAAACGAUUGUGUAGCUUCUGAUAGAGUGAUUUAUUGUUUAAAACUGGUGUAGGAAUCCUAUUUAUCAGAUAGGUUGCUGUGUGAAAAGCUUCCCACCAAAAGACAAGUGGAGGAUUUGCUAGAGCAAGAAGAGUAAGGCCAGUUUCAACAAUAUGUCUGUGUUUUCUCUUCACAACUCUAUUUUGAUGGUGUGUAUGGGGACAACUAAAUUUAAUAUGUAUCCCUUAUUGCUGAAGAAAUGAACCAAAGGCUCUAAAUUCACCCCCCAUGUCUAAUUGCAUGGUUUUAAUAGACUUGGAAAAUUGUUUUUCAACAAGGAGUUUAUACUGUUUGAAUGUGUCUAAUGCUUCUGAUUUUAAAGUGAGAGGAAAUAUCCAACUACAUCUAGUGAAAUCAUCUACAAAGGAUAUGUAAUAUUUGUAUCCAUCUUUGGAUGACAUUGAUGCUGGUCCCUAGGAUCAGUGUGUAUUAAUUCAAGUGGUGCUCUAGUUUUUAUGUUAGUGACAGGGAAGUGAAACUGAUGUAGUUUGCCAUAUUGACAAGCAUCACAGAAGCUAAGAUAAUGAUUGACAAUAUGUGAAGUUUGAGUCUUUAAAAUGAUUUGCAUAGCAUGUUUAUUGGGAUGACCAAGUCUAUUAUGUAACAGCUGCAUUGAGAUACAACUAGAAGUAUUGAAACUUGCAGGAGAAUUGUUGAAAGACACUGAAUUAACAGAAACUGACUUGAUAGACUUUGGACAAGAGUUUACAAUUUUAUUUGAAACAACUGACAACAUAGAAUUUGGCUUUAAAACUUGUACUUUAGAAUUGGAGAACAAAUCAUCUUCAGAUAGUAGUUUGUAGAGACCCCCUUCAGCAAUUCCUGUGCUAGUAAUGUCCCCUUCACCUUGUCCUUUACAAAACAAAAUUCAAAGGUGAAUUCUAUAAUCAUACUAUUAUUAGCAAGGAGUUUGGACACACUGAUGAGAUUCUUUGUUAUAUGAGGAACACGUCGCAUGUCAGUAAGAUGUAGUAAAGCUCCAAGGGAAGUGUAAAAAUAAGUGUAACCAAUAUGAGUAAUAGAAAGGCCUUUACCAUUACCAACUAGCAGCAUCUCAGAACCAGAGUAAGACUUACCAACAGUCAGAUUUUGCACAGCAUUUGUGAGGUGAUGUGUUGCUCCACUGCCUAAGUACCACCCUUGAUCAGUAACUCCUUCUAAUGUCACCAUGUAUGCAGCUCUUGGUCCUUGAUUUUGAUUUGGAAAGGAACUCUGAACUGGAGGAUUUGGCACAAAAUUUUGGUUAAACCUAUUUCUGCACUCAACAGCUGAAUGAUUUGGCUUGAAACAGAUCUGACAUAUGAUACCUCUGCCACUUCCUCUUCCAGAAUUAUUGAAACCAGCAGUAAAUCCAUUUCCAUUGAAUCCAACAAAGCUAUUUCCAUUAAAUCCAGUAAAUCCACCUCUGCCUUGAUUACCUCCUUGAUUUCCAUGCCAUUGUCCCCUUCCAGUACCAUAUCCUGCAUUACCUCCUCUCCUUGCUCCAGAAUUUCCUCUACCAUAAUUUCCAUUCCAAUUUCCACCUUCAGUUCUGUUUCCAAAGUUUCCAGUGUAGUUGCCUUGAUUAUUAUUAUUAUUCCAGCCAGCAUUAUAAUUGUUUUUCCUUUGAUUAUUUCCAAUUUGAACCAAAUUAGCAGCAUAGUUCAUUUUAGCUUCUUUACUGGCAUUAGAGUUAGCACUUUCCAAUCGAGCUUCAUGAGUCAGAAGCAUAGAGUAUGCUUCAUUAAUACUCAUCUUAAGUACAUUAGCUUCAAUAUAAACCACAACUGGAUAAUAAGGUUGUCCUAGACCAGAAAUUAAAUGAGUAAUAAAGUCUAGAUUACUAACUGGACUACCAGCAAUGGCUAACUCAUCAGUAAUAGAUCUCAACUUACUAAAGUAUUCAGUCAUAGUCAGAGAAGCUUUAUUGAGAUUAUUCAGCAGCAUUUUCAAGUGAACCUUUUUAGCAGCAGUUUCAUAUCCGAAUUGCUGUUCUAAAUUAGUCCAAAGCUCAAAAGAAGUUUUAGAUGUUACUACUAAUCUGAGAACUUCAAUACUGAUUGAGGAAAGAAGCCAGCUCAGGAGCAUCUGAUCUUAUUUCUUCCAAGUGAUGUAGGCUGGAUUCUCAUGCAAAUCUGCACUGGAGCUUCUAGGUUCAUCAUCAAGAAAUUGGCUAGGACAGAUCUUGGAGCCAUCAAGAAAUCCUUCUAUAUCAUUUGCUCGAACUGAAGAUAGGAUCUGAGAUUUCCAGAUCAUGUAAUUGGAACGAUCAAGUUUGAUUGGUGUUGUGAAGGUGAAUGAUGAGAUGGAAGAAGAACCAUUUGUAUUCAAGUUGACAGAAGCCAACAAAGAUUGAAUUAGAAUGGCUCUGAUACCAUAUUAAGUUUUAUAUGAAAAUGUGAUGUUGUUUGGUUACUAAGAAAAUAGGAAGAAAGAAAACUUCUGUAAGCUGAGAAUUCUAUUAUUAUUGAUUUGAAUGAAUCUGGAGGUUACAAGCCUUUUUAUAUGUGCAUAAAAGACUCUACACACAUUGCACACACGUACGGCGGAUUCGCGCUUAUUGCGGUGCUGACCGCCUGGUCCCGACGAUUUGUACGCGUCCAUUUCGCAUUCACAAAACAACUCAUCGUCGGUCAAUUCUAAGUAAUUCUUCGAAGAAGAAGAAGAAGAAGUUGAAGAACAAUUGUCAUUGGUGUUGUAAAUUGCAAGACAAGAACAAUGGCUGAUAAUUCCCGCGAUGCUUGUACGACGGAAAGUUUAUAUUUUUCCUUCCGAGUUAGGGAAUCCGAAGCACGAAUUGAGCGGCCAACGCCAUCAUCAAUUUCAGUUUCCCUCUCUGUGUAUGGGAUAAUCAAAGCAAAGCUUCGUACUGGUAACACAUUCUCAUAGCAAGCCCAGCCCAAUCCAGCCCAGUCAAGCAAGUGAGCAAUGUUAUUAUUUUAUUAUUUUUGAACUCGCGGUGGCUCUGUAUUAUUUGCAAAAUACUCAUGUAAGGCAGAGAAUAUAUUUUAUAUUGGAAUAUUUUCAAAAUAAAUGGUGCUUUAAACAGGCGUCCGAUUGUAAAGAUAUGUCAUAUGCCUAAUUAAACAGUGUCAGAUAUAAUAAAAAUAUAUCUUUUUAUUUAAAGAUGUAUUCAUUCACGGUUUUAUACUUUAAUUUGAAAUGGUGAUGAUUUAUUUUAGACCAGUGAUGAUCUAAUUCAAUUUUUAAUUUAAUAACCAUAAAUGAAAAAUUACAUUUGCAAUGUGUCUCGAAGCACCAUCAAUUCUUACCUAUAUUUCAAUUAAAAUAAGAGUGAAACUAUUGGCACCCAUUCAUUAUUCAUAUAAAACUUAUUUCAAAUAAAAUUACAGUUAAGGGCAAAGAAGAAAUAAACACAUGUAGGAUUUUUUUCCCAACAAAUUACUUACAUUAAUAAUCAAACCUUUUUUUUUUAAUUUCCUACCAUUAUUUCUUAUCUAACUAAGAUAAAUUGUAUAAAUCUGGCAUAAUCUAUUUUUCUUUUCCUAUUUCUUAUUGAUUAAAUAUUUUCGGACUCAAGAUUACUUUCAAACUACAAUCUAAAAUAUAUGUUAUUUAAGCUAAUGAUUAGCAUUCAAACUUUAUCACCUCGAAAGCUUUUUAAUUUGUAUGUAGGAUAACAAUAAGAUUGCAAAAGAAAUGAAAAAUAGCACAAUACUACUUUGAGUUUUAACAAUAAAAGACGUGUUGUUUGUGAAAGCAAAUCCAGAAAACCAAAACGGCAGCAGACUUUGCGUUUAGGAGCUGGAAACACUUAAGCUCAAACGGCACAGGAUCCUGCGUUUUGAAGAGUAGAAGAAAUACACUUCUGAACGACGUAUGGGUCUGUCGUUUAGAUUUAAGUGAUUCACGCGUAUAUCACGUGCCUGAGUUCAGCUUUGCAAAGUUCGUUAUAUGUCGUUAGAAGUAUGAGGAACUCACGUGAGGUGCUGGGGAUUUUCUGGGUUCGUUAACUAAAGCUGUUAUGGAACAGCUGAUGUGGAAGCAACGGAUUGGAGAGCUAGAGAGAGAGAAGGGAACUGGUUAUAUAAGCUAGUUGUGAUCCUUCUUUGAAAGCUAAGCAUUUUACUCUGUAAUUCAUCUGAAGUAAAUCAAUAAAGCUGUGUUCUUUCCCUCCCGUGGAUGUAAGCUAGAGAAAUCUAGCUGAACCACGUUAAAGAUUCUUUGUUCUUUCUUUACGUUACUUUCGCUUGAUUCUCUAUACCAUUUUGAUUGAUCAUCUAAGUUCCAUAGGUUCAUCUUAGUCUAAGCUUUUUCAGUUAAACAUCUUGCUGCAUCUUGUUCUGUUGGCUGGAGGUCUUGGGGCAGAGUCUUGGGUUGCUCUAUCAGUCAAUAGCACCUGAGAUUCUUCAAUUGGUAUCAGAGCUGGAUCUACAACCAAAGACAAGUAUGGUUUCAACCAAGAUCGAUCUUGAGAAGUUUACUGGCAAGAAUGAUUUCAACAUGUGGAAGGUGAAGAUGGAGGCCUUGCUGAUAACUCAGGGGUUAGGAGAUGCACUCGAACCUGUCACCAAGAAGGAAGGAAAAGAAGAAUCAUCCUCCAAGACACCUGAGAUGGCAGUCGAGAUGGACAAGAAGGCCAGAAGCACCAUCAUAUUGAGCCUUGGUGACUCAGUGAUAAGGGAGGUUGCCAAGGAGAAGACUGUUGCAGACCUAUGGGCCAAAUUAGAAAAGAUUUAUAUGACUAAAUCUUUGGCUAAUAGGUUGUAUAUCAAAAGGAGGAUGUUCACACUGAAGAUGGCUGAAGGGUCCUCUCUGGAUGAUCACAUUGAUGAAUUCAAUCAAGUGUGUGACACACUUGAAACCAUUGAUGAGGGGCUGGAUGAUGAAGGAAAGGCAUUGCUUCUGGUGAGCUCUCUACCUCAGUCUUAUUCAAAUCUUGUCGAUGCCCUUAUGUAUGGAAGAUCAACCUUAUCAUUAGAUGAGGUUAAGGCUGCCUUGAAUACUAGAGGGCUACAAGAAAAAUCUGGGAAUAUGAUGCAUGCUGAAGGAUUAUCAGUUAAGGGUAAGUUUAACAAGAAUGAUGGAAAGAAGAAGAAACAAAAGCAAGACAAGUCUAAAUCACAAAACAAGAAGUGCUUUCAUUGUAACAAAGAAGGUCACUUCAAGAGAGACUGUCAAGAACUAAAGAACAAAAGCAAGGAAAGAAAUGGUGAUGCAGCUACAGUGGAGGAAAAAGGUUAUGAAUCUGCUGGUGUGUGUGUGGCUACAGAGGAUCUCCAGAGAGGUAAAUGGAUACUAGAUUCUGGUUGCACAUUUCAUAUGUGCCCAUUUAAAACUUAUUUUUCUGAUUACCAUGAUUUAGAUGGGGGAAAAGUAAUGAUGGGUAACAAUGCUGUAUGUAAAGUCAUAGGCAUGGGAAAUGUGAGUCUUAGGCUUCAUGAUGGGACAACAUGGGAACUUAGAGAGGUCAGAUAUGUUCCUGACUUAAAGAGGAACUUAAUCUCACUAGGUUUGAUAGAUCAGAAUGGGUUUAGUAUUAAGCUUGAAUCUGGUAGAUUGUUGAUCAUGAAGGGCUCUAAGAUAGUGAUGAAAGGUUCAAAAAGAAAUGGAGUAUAUGUCCUAGAUGGUGAGGCAGUUACAGGUAUAACAGAUGUGAUUGUUGGCACUGGUGGGGUUAGCACCAGGUUGUGGCACCUAAGAUUGGGGCAUAUGAGUGUUAAGGGGUUAAAAGAGCUUGAGAAACAAGGAGUUCUGGGGAAGGAUAAGAUAGAGGAGUUAGAUUUUUGUGAAGAUUGUGUAUAUGGAAAGUCCACAAGGCACAGUUUCAAAAACUCAACCAGCAAAUCUAUUGGCAUCCUAGACUACAUACACUCUGAUCUCUGGGGACCUGCACAGACAAGAUCAUUAGGUGGAAAUAGCUAUUUUUUGUCAAUAAUAGAUGAUUAUUCAAGAAGGGUUUGGGUCUAUGUACUAAAGCACAAAGAUCAAGUCUUUAACAAAUUCAAAGAAUGGAAAACCUUAGUUGAGAAUCAGACAGGAAAGAAGGUUAAGAAAUUAAGAACAGAUAAUGGACUUGAGUUCUGCAAUCAGCAAUUUAACAGCUACUGUGCAAAUGAGGGGAUAGCAAGGCACAAAACAGUGAGGUUAACACCUCAGCAAAAUGGAUUGGCAGAGAGGAUGAACAGGACCCUGAUGGAUAAGGUGAGGUGCAUGCUGGUACAAGCAAAGCUUCCAAAAAGCCUCUGGGCAGAAACCUUAUUAACAGCAAGCUAUCUGGUGAAUUUGAGUCCCUCUGCUGCUCUAGACUUUAAGACUCCAUUUGAAAUGUGGCAUGGGCAACCAGCAAGCUAUGUAAAUCUUAAAGUGUUUGGAUGCCCUGCUUAUGCACAUAUCAGUCAAGGAAAGUUAGCACCCAGGGCUCUUAAAGGUCAGUUCCUAGGCUAUCCUGAUGGAGUUAAAGGAUACAAACUAUGGUGCACUGAUCUAGAACCUCCAAGGUGCAUAAUAAGCAGAGAUGUGACAUUUAAUGAGAAGGCUGUUUUGGAAGUCAGAAAGGAUGCUGAGCUGAAAACUCAGAAACCUCAAGUGCAAGAUGACAUGCAAUUUGAGGUGGAGCAUCCUGAAUCAAAGAAAUCUGAGAAGGGUGACAGUUCAGAUAAAGACAGUGAAGAUCAUGAUGAAUGCAGUGGCCCUCAACCACAAUCUCAGAGGCAGACUCAAGUACAGGGUUAUCAGCUGACAAAAGAUAGAGAAAAGAGACAAAUCAAACCACCACAGAGAUAUGGUUAUGCUGAUUUGAUAGCAUAUGCACUAGCUGCUUCACAUGAUAUUGAUGUAGAUGAGCCUAAGAGUUAUGCAGAAGCUGUUCAAAGCUCAAACAAAUCAGAAUGGCAGGAAGCUAUGAAUGAUGAGAUAGCUUCUCUUAAGAAGAAUCACACCUGGAUAUUGAUUGAGAAGCCUGGAAACAGAAGGACAGUGGGUUGCAAGUGGGUUUUCAGAGUCAAAGAAGGCCUCACAGCUAGUGAACCUAGCAGGUACAAAGCUAGGCUGGUAGCUAAGGGGUACACUCAAAGGGAAGGAGUUGACUUUAAAGAGGUAUUCUCCCCUGUGGUCAGACAUGCCUCUAUAAGGGUGCUGUUAGCAAUGACUGCAGUUCAUGACUUAGAGCUUGAUCAACUUGACGUCAAGACUGCAUUUUUACAUGGAAGACUACAGGAAGAAAUUCUUAUGACUCAACCUGAGGGUGAUGUGGAUUCUGAGAAACCAAAUCAUGUUUGCUUGCUGAAAAGAUCACUGUAUGGGCUCAAGCAAUCUCCAAGGCAGUGGUAUCUCAGGUUUGAUGAAUUCAUGCUGUCACAUGGAUACCUGAGAUGCAGUUUUGACUGCUGUGUAUAUUACAAGCUAAUAAACACAAAUCUCUACAUAUACCUGUUACUAUAUGUAGAUGAUAUGUUGGUAGCCUGUAAGUCAAGAGAAGAAAUUGAAGCUUUGAAGAAUUUGCUGAGCUCUGAAUUUGAGAUGAAAGAUUUGGGGUCAGCAAAGAAGAUACUAGGCAUGGAAAUCAAGAGGGAUAGAAGCAAAGGCAUCAUGUUUCUUUCUCAAGAGAAAUAUCUGAGGAGGGUAUUGGAAACUUUUGGGAUGACCUCAUGUAAACCUGUGAUGACUCCAAUAGCAACACAUUUUAAGCUCUCCAGUUUGCAGUGUCCUAAGACAGAAGAAGAAAAGUUAGAGAUGGCUAAGAUUCCCUAUGCUAAUGCAGUUGGCUGCAUGAUGUAUGCCAUGGUUCUAACUAGGCCUGAUAUCUCCUAUGCUCUAAGUGUAGUAAGCAGAUAUAUGGUGUCUCCUGGAAAAGAACAUUGGAGAGCUGUAAAGUGGGUGCUGAGAUACCUAAGUGGAACCUUGAGCCAUGGGCUGGUUUAUGGAAAGUCAGGGAUCAAGUCUGAGGGGAUCUAUGGAUUUGUUGAUUCUGACUUUGCAGGAGACUUAGACAGGAGAAGAUCCCUCACAGGGUAUUUGUACAUGCUGGAUGGCUGCUUGAUUAAUUGGAAAGCAAGUCUUCAACAUGUUGUUGCAUUAUCAACAACAGAAGCUGAGUAUACAGCAGCUGCUGAAGCAGUAAAGGAAGCCUUAUGGAUGAAAGGCUUGAUAGCUGAGCUUGGAAUGAGUCAGAAGACAGUUGAUGUAUUCUGUGAUAGCUCAAGUGCCAUUUACUUGAGUAAAAACCCAGCUCAUCAUGAGAAAACAAAGCACAUCGACAUCAAGCUGCAUUUCAUUAGAAAUGUAGUCUCCAUGGGUGUGGUCAGAAUGGUGAAGAUACAUACAGACAGAAAUCCUGCUGACAUGUUAACAAAAGUAGUCACUACAGCUAAGUUCAAGGUUUGCUUGGACAUAGCUGGUCUUGGCUGCUGGUAAUCCAUUCUGGAAAUGGAGGGGGAAAACCAGGGAUGAUUUGUUUCAAGGUGGAGAAUUGUUGUUUGUGAAAGCAAAUCCAGAAAACCAAAACGGCAGCAGACUUUGCGUUUAGGAGCUGGAAACACUUAAGCUCAAACGGCACAGGAUCCUGCGUUUUGAAGAGUAGAAGAAAUACACUUCUGAACGACGUAUGGGUCUGUCGUUUAGAUUUAAGUGAUUCACGCGUAUAUCACGUGCCUGAGUUCAGCUUUGCAAAGUUCGUUAUAUGUCGUUAGAAGUAUGAGGAACUCACGUGAGGUGCUGGGGAUUUUCUGGGUUCGUUAACUAAAGCUGUUAUGGAACAGCUGAUGUGGAAGCAACGGAUUGGAGAGCUAGAGAGAGAGAAGGGAACUGGUUAUAUAAGCUAGUUGUGAUCCUUCUUUGAAAGCUAAGCAUUUUACUCUGUAAUUCAUCUGAAGUAAAUCAAUAAAGCUGUGUUCUUUCCCUCCCGUGGAUGUAAGCUAGAGAAAUCUAGCUGAACCACGUUAAAGAUUCUUUGUUCUUUCUUUACGUUACUUUCGCUUGAUUCUCUAUACCAUUUUGAUUGAUCAUCUAAGUUCCAUAGGUUCAUCUUAGUCUAAGCUUUUUCAGUUAAACAUCUUGCUGCAUCUUGUUCUGUUGGCUGGAGGUCUUGGGGCAGAGUCUUGGGUUGCUCUAUCAGUCAAUAGCACCUGAGAUUCUUCAAGACGAUUAAAUGAAAAACUAAAAGAGUGUCUUUGAAAAUAAAAGGAAAUGUUUGGAAAUAAAAUAAAUAUAACGGAAAAAAGGAUUUGAUGAGGAGACUAGAGGGGUGCCAAUAGUCCAACUUUUAAAAUAAAGUUUUAUCAAUUAUUGUUCCCUUUUUCUGCAAUUAUUAUUCCCCACAGAUAUUUCUCCAACAUUUUAUUUCAUAUAUUUACUCCUACUACACUCUAACAAAGGACGCCUUUUGGACUACAUCAGUUUCUAGAUGCAUUUUAUUAAUAAAUUAAAUAAAGGCACCAUCCCUUGUUCAAUUUCUCUAAAUAACCACUUUCUGUCAGCUCUCUUAAAAUUUAUUAAGGAAUCUAUGUUGAAGACCAUUUCAUCCUUAGUAUUGUGUAAAUGUAUAAAAACACAUUUUACACUUUGAAAUUUAAAAUGACCUUCUUUUAGCACAAAAUUUUAAAACAAAUGCCUCUAACUAAGCGACAAAUUUUAAAAUACAUGAUAAAUACUAUAUCAGUGAUAUAAAAGGUGAAUCAUACUAUGAUAUAUGUGCAUUUAUUUUGAAAACCCAUCACGUAAAUAAUGCUUAUAUUGAAUCUAAGUAAGUGCAUAUCAUACAUGACACAACCCGGCCCAGCCUCUCUUACGGAUUCGAGGUGAAUCAUGUGAUCUUAUAUCUAAAGCUUAUGAAAUAAAUUUAAUUCAUGAAUGCAUAACACCGCCUUUGUUAUAAACAUAUAAUCACAUAUGUGACUCAUUCAAAAAUAUAUUCAAAACUUGCACAUUUUACACCGUACUAUACAUACAUACACUUUAGAUAUAUACAUAUAAAUAUAAACAUAAACAUGCUCAAAAUAUAAGUUAUGCAGUAAUGCGUGUCGUGGCCCAACCUCAAUUGAUUAGAAACUAAAUUGCACAAAAUCCUAUGAAAAUCUUAAAGAAAUGGGGGUAAAUAGGAAAAUAGUAUACUUGUGGGUAAAUGAAUGGAUAUAAUUAUAUAAAUUAGCGCUCUAGUGCCCGUACAUAAUUGUAUGACAUAACUUCGCACUGAACGCAUUACACAAGCAAACAUGAAAUCAUAUAUUUAUACAUGAUAAAAUUGCACUAAAUAAUAUCUAGGAGAAAUAACUCUCAAUACUCGCUGGAAUCAUCAUUGCACAAGUAAAGUAGGGGAAACACCUCUCAAUACGCAGCGGAAUUAACUACAUCACAAGGGCCUUGUAAUCUAACUCUCAAUACACAUACAUAGAGCCUAUGGUGAAGGGUACACAUAUGGUAUCUGGCAAUCACAUCUCAUUAUUCAAUCAAGCAUAUAAUAUGAGUACAUAUAAUCAUGACAUGAUACUAAAUCAUACUAUCAAGCAUAAAUACUUUGUAGAAUACAUAUAAGUAAUAAUAGUAAUCCACUCAUAAAACAUUUUUCACUCCAGGGCUUGUUGGAGCUCUUAUAGAUUCCUUAAUUCUUGGAUUUCUCCUAAAAUAUAGGGUUCAAAAAUUAACUGUUAGAACUGAUAUAAAAUUUUUUACAUAUGACAUAAACUAAAUCAUAAUUGUUCAAAUUUCUUAAAUACAUUACUUACUGAUUUACUGGAUAUAGAUAUAACUAUCCAACUCUCUUUCCUAUAAUUUUUCCUCUCAAUUCCACUUUUCAAAUUUAUUUUUCACUCUCGGUUUUUCUUUUCUUUAUUUUUCCUUCUUCAUCUUUUAUUCUUCUGUUCUUUUCCUCUUCUUUCUUCAUCUUUUCUUCUUUUGUUCUUUUCCUCUUCUCUUUUCCUUUUGUUUUCUUCCCUUCUCACCUUUUCCUUUCUUUUUCUUUUCUCUUUGAAUUGCUUUGUUUUAGUUUGAUUCUUGAAAAUGGUGACAAUUGCUUCAAUUCUUUACUUUAUAUAUAUCCAUUGCCUCCAAUCAUGCAUGACAAGCACAUAGCAUGCAUGUGCUUUGCUUUAAGCCGACAGUUUGCUAAUUAGCCACAUGUGCUCCCUUUUGGUUUGCAUGUGCGUCACAAUAUAUGCAUUAAUUAGUUGUAUUAUUUUUAAUGUAUUAUUAAAUUUCUUUUAAUGAAGGACGUAGUUAACAAUUUUAACCAGUUAAACAUGUUGUUUGACAUAUAAUACAGUUUAUGGUCAAACAACUCAUAAGUAGUUGAAAUUAAAUUAUUUUUUAAUCUCAAUUUUCCUUUUCUCUCAAUUUUAAAAUAUUUUAUAAGAUUUUCAAACAUAAGAUACAAUGGUAUAGAAUUGAAGCCUAAUCCAACAUAGAAAGAAUAAAUAAAAUUAAUUUUCACCACUACUCAAGAGACUUGAAAGGACAUUAAGGUAGCGUUUAUUUUUUUUAUUUAAAAUAUGAAUAGGUUAGAAUUUGAUUAAAAGCUGAAUGGCUUUGAAUAUAAAUGUUUCAAUAACAUGUUUUUUUUAAUAUCUAAAAAUUAAGUGACAUCUUGUUUGUUUUUAUAAUAAAAAAAAUAUUAAAUGUAGUUAUUUAACAUUUAUGUCCUUAUAAGUCAAAACAAAUAAAAGGGAUUAGGUUUCGUAGUUUAUGAAAUAACUAUAUUGAAUUGAAAUAUUUUUAGGAUAUAGUAUUUAUUUUCCAUUCAAACAUUUUUUCAUUUCGGCAAAGGUCACAAAAAUUUACUUUUUUAAUUCAAAUGUAAAUAUCUAAAAAUCAGACAUAUGUUACAAAAAAAAAUAAAAUAACUAAUUUUUUUUUUAAAAAAAGUUAAACUUUAUAUGUUUAAAAUAAACGCUAAGGAACAUGAAUAAGAGCUAUGAAAACAAAAAAAAAGAGAAUAAUUUUGAAACUAAAUACAAUUAAUUGAGAGAUGAGAAUCGAUAAGAUAAAUUCAUAGAUAAAAAUUAAAAUAUCAACCCUACUUAUUGCUGGCAGUUAUGAGCAUUAAAGAACAGAAGCCGUGUCUUGAUAAGUAUGGUGUUCGUGCGGAAUUCUCAAUUUUAAUAUAUAUAUAUAUAUAUAUAUAUAUUAAAAAAAAGCUAGACUUCGUAUGUUUAAAAUCAACGCUAAGGAACAUGAAUAAGAGCUCUUUAACAAAACAAAAAAGAAUAAUUUUGAAACUGAAUACAAUUAAUUGAGAGAUGAGGACCGAUAAGAUAAAUUCAGAGAUAAAAAGUAACAUAUCACCCUACUCUCACACUGAUUUGUAUUAUAUCUAUUACGCCUCUUUCAGUCUUGUACAUGAAUUUAUUAAUAUAUAAUUCGAGAUAGGUGAUAAAAGAUAUGAAAUCUUAAAAGAAAAAACUUGCAGGGGUCACAACUUAUGCCAACCACCACAUAUCCAUUCGAUGGAGCCGUACCCUAAUAAUUAAAAUUUGGAAGUACGAUGAAAAUUAGAAAUGGGUAUUUAAUAAGUUGGAGAUUAUGUUAAGAUUUAUGGAGCCAAGAGUGCCGGUUAAAUAAUCCUGUGAGAAUUGACAAAAUCUUAUAUUAGAUUAGAUGGAUGGGUGGAUGUACAAAUAACUUGAUUUGCAUAUCUCACCGAGAUUGUCUAUUUCAAUUUGAGAUUUAAAGAAAAAUAAACCUUAAAAAUUGUAACAAAAAAUGGGGAAAAUCGUACCACACAUGGAUUGCAUGGGUCUAAUGAUCAAGGGGGCAUCCAAUGAAUGGGAGCCUAGGUUUUGAGAUAAAUUGGUGGUGGUGGUGGUGGUGGUCCUUGCGCGUGAGAUGAGUUAAUUUAUUAAAUGGAUUAUUAUUUUCUUUUAUUUUUCGAAGGGAGAAAAAAAAAUAAUAAAAAGGACAUCUAGAGGUUGUGAGCCGUGGGUUGAAAAGUAUGGUGUUCAUGUGGAAUUUUCAGCUAGAAGUCUACAAAGCAGUUGAAUUAAUCAAUCAUCGUGGAGUGCACGGUGCUUGGACAGUGAGAUGAAAUUGAAAAAUUAUCACGGAACUUGAAGGAAGGUUCAUGGCAUCGAUUUAUUCUACAGAGUCGCUCACAUUUGGUUCAAUAAUUGUUUUCAUCCGAAUCAAAAUAUCUCUCUAAUCAAUUCAACUGUUUCUGUUGAUUAUGGCUUCUUCUUAUCGAAACAACAAGAAGUAUGAUGUUUUUGUUAGUUUCAGAGGAGAGGACACCCGGGACAACUUUACUAGCCAUCUCUAUUCUGCUCUGAGUCGACAAAAUAUCCAGACUUUCAUUGAUGACCAACUUAACAGAGGAGAUGAAAUUUCGGAGUCACUUGUGAAUGCAAUUGAAGCAUCAGCCAUUUCAGUUAUCGUCUUCUCUGAAUCAUACGCUUCUUCUAGAUGGUGUCUCGAUGAACUUGUAAAGAUCCUCGAGUGCAAGAAAUAUUAUGCACAAAUUGUGAUUCCGGUUUUCUAUCGGGUUGAUCCAUCAGACGUGAGAAACCAAACUGGGAGUUUUGGGGAUUCAUUUUCGAAGCUCGAAGAAAGAUCAAAGGAGAAUACUGAGAAGCUGCGGAGUUGGAGGACUGUUUUGAAGGAAGCAGCCAGUUUGUCUGGCUUUCAUUCUCUUAACAUCAGGUGAAAAGUUGCCUUUAAUUUCUCAUACUAAUAUUUAACAAUAAAUAAAAUUCACGCAGCACUCUUAGUUAAAUUUCCGGAUGCUAAACUACAAUUUUAAAAAUUUUUAAGCAUCAGAUUCUAGACUUCCACACUUUUGUGCUCCCAUAAUUAUAAAAUAAUUUUGACAGAGUUAAUAAUAAAAGCUCGAGAAUUUUACAAUAUACAUCUAACAAAAUUAGUGGUGGUCUGUCAUUUUUUUAAGCAAUUGCAACCUCACUCAUAUACCACCAUUAGGAAAAAAAAGGAAAUUAUCCUUGCACCACCUUCCUUUUAUCUAUUGUACAUCCAACCACUACAAAAUUCUAACAUAUUCUUUGCACCACCUUUUUUUUAAAAAAAAAUUUGAAUCAAUAAGCCACUUUUGCACUAACACCAUGAAAUAAUUUAAAUGAAAUGAUAAUUUUUCCCUUAAAUAAAUUAAAAGACCAUUUUUAUUUUAUAAAAACUAUGAAAAUAAAAAUUAUAAUUAUAAAAAUACCCCUAAAUUUAAUUAAAAAUAAAUCCCAAAAUUACAAUUUUUAUUUUUUAAUAAAAAAUAUUUUAGUAAAAAAUUAUAAUUAUAAAAAUAAUUACAAAAUUUUGGGAUUUAAUAAAAUCCCCUAAAUUAUUAAAAUUUGAGGAUUUAUUUUUAAUAAAUAAAUUCAGUUAUUUUAAUUAAUUUUUACAAAAUUAUAAUUUAUAAUAAUAAAUUCAGUUAUUUUUAUUAAAAUAUUGUAAAAUUAUAAUUUUUUAAAAAAUUAGUAUUAAAAUUUUGUAAAAUCUAAAUUUAAUAAAAAUUAGCUGAGCACCUCUAUUUGAGAUUUAUGUCUUAUUAAAUUUAGGGGUAUUUUUUUAAUUAUAAUUUUUUUAUUUUCCAAGCUUUUAUAAAAUAAAAUGAUCUUUUAGUUUAUUUAGAGGUAAAUUUAUCAUUUUCUUUAAAUUAUUUAACGGUGUUAGUGCAAAAGUGGUUAAUAGAUACAAAUUUAAAAAAAAAAGGUGAAAAAAAUAUGUUAGAAUUUUAUGGUGGUUAGAUGAACAUAAGACAAAAGAGAAGUAGUACAGUGAUAAUUUUCCCAAAAACAAAAAUACUCACACAUAUUCCUGUAAUUUAAGAGUUAUUAAUUUAUUGGAUAUUGUAGACUAGUGGUGGUAUUUAUUAAUUUCAAUAAGAAAACUGACAAUCUCCCUUACUUCAUACUUAAUGCAAAUUCCUCGUAUUAAUUUGAAGUUACUUUGGCUAAUUUUAUGUAUUUGCUAGGUGUGAGUCGGAACUUACAAAUGAAGUUGUUAAUCACAUUUUGAAGAGAUUGGAUGAAGUGUUUCAGCCCCGUGAUAACAAAAACCAGCUGGUUGGAGUGGAAUCAACAGUUGAGGAAAUUGAAUCCCUAUUAGGUGUUGAGUCGAAAGAUGUUUACGCUUUAGGGAUUUGGGGCAUUGGUGGUAUAGGCAAAACAGCAAUUACUAGAGCUAUUUUCGACAAAAUCUCGGGUGAUUUUGAAGGUUCUUGCUUCCUCGAAAAUGUUAGAGAUGAGUCACAAAGACUAGGAGGAUUAGCUUGCUUACGACAAAAACUUCUUUCAAAUUUAUUGAAGGAUAAAAAUGCGAUGCCUUAUAUUGACCUCAAUUUUAGAAGGCUCAGCCGCAUGAAGGUUUUGAUUGUUUUUGAUGAUGUGAUUUGCUUCAGCCAAUUAGAAUCUUUAAUUGGAAGUCUUGAUUGGUUGACGCCUGUGAGUCGAAUCAUAAUAAUCACCAGAAAUAAACAAGUGCUUAGAAAUUGGGGGGUGAGGAAAAUCUAUGAGAUGAAGGCAUUAGAAUAUCAUCACGCUAUUGAGCUUUUUAGUCGACAUGCCUUCAAACAAAACCAUCCUGAUGUUGGUUAUGAGAAACUUUCAAGCAAAGUAAUGAAAUAUGCUCAAGGUGUUCCUUUAGCUCUUAAAGUUUUGGGUUGCUUUCUGCAUAAAAGGGAAAAAGAAGUCUGGGAAAGUGCAAUAGAUAAAUUGCAAAGAAUCCUCCAUCCAAGUAUUCUUGAGGUAUUAAAAAUAAGUUAUGAUAGUUUGGACGAUAAGGAGAAAAAUAUUUUCCUUGAUGUUGCUUGUUUCUUUCAAGGUGAGGAUGUAGAUCUAGUAAUGAAAUUUUUUAAUGCAAGUGGCUUCUACCCAGAAAUAGGAAUGAGUGUUCUUGUUGAUAAAUCUCUCAUUGCUAUUGAUUCAUACAACAAGAUAACAGUGCAUGAUUUACUACAAGAAUUGGGUCGGGAAAUUGUUCGACAAGAAUCAACUAAUCCUGAAAACCGCAGUAGGCUCUGGCAUCAUGAAGAUAUCUAUGAAGUUCUUACGUAUAAUACGGUAAGUAGUUUGUUGUGUAUUAUUAUUUUGGAACAAUGUAGUGUUUAAAAACUUCAUGUGAAUAUAUUUACAUACGCUCGCACUCGUGAGUCUUAGAAUUAAUGGAAGAGUGGCAAUGAUUAGAAAAAACAAUAGUGGUUAGAUGACGUAGCAAUAAAUUAUAAAUGCGACGACAAUUUGCAUAACCGUUUGCAAGCAUAAUUGAUAUGUAAAUUUGUCUAUUACACAUGCAGAAUUUUUAUGUUAAUUAUUACUUGUGUUAUUAUGUUUCUUAACUGCGUAGCAAUAACUAUAAACAUGAAUUAUUGAAAUUUGACUCGAGUAAUGACAGAGAGCCCCACUCCAAUCCCACAUAAACUCCAUGCAAGAAUAAAUAAAAAUUGAAUUAAUAACUAAGCUACCUCUAAUUGUAAAUUUGUGACAAAAUUGCCCCAAAUUGUUUUUCUUGGUGGGGUUGAAGUGCAAUUCAUUAGUGGAAUAUACAUAUCAUCUUCCAUUUGAUUUUAACUUUAUUUUUUUAUUUAUUUUUAGGGGACAGAAAAAAUUGAGGGCAUCUGUUUGGAUAUGUCAAAAGUAAAAGAGAUCCGUCUAAAUCCUAAUACUUUCACAAAGAUGCCUAAAUUGAGAUUUUUAAAGUUCUAUGGUUCAUCAGUCAAUGGAGAGAACAAAUGUAAGAUAUCUUAUUUGCAAGAUCCUAGAUUUGCUGAAGUGAAAUAUCUUCACUGGUAUGGAUAUCCGUUGAAGUCAUUGCCUUCAAACCUUAGUGCAGAGAAACUUGUGUUACUUGAAGUGCCUGAUAGUGACAUUGAACGACUUUGGGAUUGUGUGAAGGUAUGGAUAUCUUAUUAUACAUGUGCAAUCUUUCAAAUUACAACAUUAAAUUAUUAUACGCGGUAACGAUUUUGUCUUGGCCUCUUUUUUGACCGAGCAGCAUUAUAGUAAGCUAAACCAGAUAAUCCAUGCUGCCUGCAAUAAGCUAAUUGCCAAAACUCCAAAUCCCACGUUGAUGCCAAGUCUGAACAAGCUAGUUAUCUUGAAUCUAAGAGGUAGCAAAAGCCUGAAAAGUCUUCCAGCUAGAAUAUUUAAUUUGGAAUUUCUUAUCAAACUUGAUCUUUCGGGCUGCUCAAAACUGAAGAGGCUUCCGCAGAUCUUAUCAGGUAAUAUAAGCUGGUUACUUUUAAGGGGGACUGCAAUUAAAGAACUGCCCUCAUCAAUUGAGCUUCUACAUAGGCUCGGGUACUUGGACCUUUCAGAUUGUAAAAGUCUUAAGUGUCUCCCAAGCAGCCUAUGUAAGGUGAAAUCUCUUGGAGUUCUUGAUCUCAGUGGUUGCUCAAAUCUUGAGAGAUUGCACGAAUGUCUUGGCCAGUUAUCCUCGCCAAUGUUAUUGAAUCUAGCGAAAACCAAUAUUGAGAGAAUACCAGAAAGCAUUAUCCAACUUUUUGUGUUGCGAUACCUCCUCUUAAAUUAUAGUGAGAGGCUUCAAUCCUUACCAAAGCCUCCAUUCCUUGCACGAGGGUUAGAUGCCGAUCAUUGCCCACUGCAAUCAUUAUUAGGUUUAUUCUCUAAGUUCUGAAUCUUAUAGCAGUGUCUUUUGAGCAGAGCAAUAAUUUUAAAUUGAAAGGUCAUUGUACUGCAGGAAUUGUUGAAGAUGCCCUGAGAAUUCAGCAUAUGGGCCAUGUGCUAGCUGUCCGUUGGAAAGAAAUACGGGAAAAGGUGUCUUUAACUCUGUUUCCUUACAGUUUAUACAAUUUUUUUUUUUGGGUUUAAAGUUAUGAUUUUUUGGUACAGGGAGAUUUUUCCAUGGACAAAGGUCAUAUCGUACUACCUGGGAAUGAAAUUCCAAAGUGGUUUAAGUUUCAAAGUGUGGGAUCUUUUAUAACCUGGGAGAUGCCGCCAGAUUUCUUCAAUAAUAGCAGAGUACAGGGCAUUGUAUUUAGUGCUAUUUUAGCAUUUUCAGACCGUCAUGUAGAUUGUGGCAGAUGGUUUUCAUUUUCUUUUGAGCUCAAAGUGAAAACCACCAAAGAUUGUGGUCCGCAUGACACACGAUUAUUUCAGAGCAGAGUUAAUUAUGUAGAAUCAGAUCACUUACAUUUGGGGUACUAUCUGUUCUGUGAAGAGGAUUUUAAUGGUUUUUGGAAAUGCAAUUGCAUUCCUGAGGCUGUCCAAUUUAAUGUUUGUCCACCUUUGGAGUGCCAGUGCUGCGGGGUGAAAAAAUGUGGGAUCCAUUUACUUCACGCCCGAGAUUCUAUGAAUUCAAUGUAAGAUCCAAGCAGAUGUUUCAACUGUAACGUAGAAGACUGAUAUUUUCAUGAAUCUAUUUUUAUUGUUUUCCUUUUUCUAAUGAUUAUUAAUAAUAGGAGAAAAUGCUAAAAUCAAUUCUUGGAACAAAACAUUCAUGUAAUAACUUUGGAGGGAUCAGGUGCAUGCAAUUACCUUCGAGGGAUUUGGUGCAAGCAACACAAAUUCACACUAGAGCAUAGAACGUUACUUAUAAAUAAAAGUAAAAAGACAACCUAAAUGAAGGAGCACAUGAUUAUCUAUAAAUAAAAGUCGCAACAUUUUCUAUAAAUAGAAGUUACGCCAUUUUGUGAUCCAUAUAUCUUCUUGCACCACUCCUUUUUUUCUUUUUUUAUUUUAACCCCUCUUUCCUAAAACGAAUUUCUGCAUAAUACAUCUAUAUUUUAUGCAUCAAAUCCUUAAUAUAUUAUUUUUUGCAGGAACAAUAUAUUAAUUUUUCGUAAGUUUACAACAUACAAGGACAUUUAGGUUUGCUUUUGUUUGUGCAUAAUACAGGCAAAUAAACACAAGCACUUCAUUAUAUCAUGAAGGCAUAUUUACUUAACUUAUGUAUAUCACUCAAUUGGAAGAGGGAGUAAAUAACGUCUUGAGGAAAACAAUAUUGUGUCUCGCAGCACUGUUAAUUCAUACAGUUUACUAUUUUGAUUAUUAUUCUUUGUACCUAUAAAGUUUCAUCAAUUAUUUCUCCAAUUUUCCACAAUUAUUAUUCCCCACGAGUAUAUUUCCAAUAUUUUAUUUCACAUAUUUACUUCUGCUACUAGUGUGAUAAUAAAAGAUGCCUUUUUGAACUACAUCAGUUUCUAGAUCUAUUUUAUUGAGAAACUAACCGAACGCACCAUCCAUUAUUUAAUUUAUGGAUCAAAUAAGCCAUAAGUAGUUGAAAUAAAAUGUUUGUUUGGUAGAUAAUAUCGAUUUUUAAAAUAGUUUAAAAGAUUUUCAAACAUAAGAUACAAUAAUAUACAAUUGAAGCCUAGUCCAACAUAGAAAAUAAAAUAAAAUUAAUUUUCAUCACUACUCGAGAGACUCAAAGAGUACUAAGGUAGCAUUUUUUUUAAUUUAAAAUUUGAAUAGGCUUGAAUUUGGGUGAAGUCUUAACAUAAAUGUCUAAAUAAUAUGUUUAUUUUUUUUAAUAUCUGAAAAUAAAGUGACAUCUUAUUUUUUUUAUAAUUUUUUAAAAAAUAAACAUGGUUAUUUGACAUUUUUGUCCUUAUAAGUCAAAAUGAAUAAAUGGAUUAAACUUUAUAGUUUAAGAAAUAACUAUAUUUAAUAGAAAUAUCUUUAAGAUAUAGUAUUUACUUUCCAUUCAAUAUAUGUUUUCAUUUUGAUAAAAGUCAUAAAAUUCACUUUUUGUAUUCAAAUGUAAAUAUCUAAAACUUAGACAUAAGUUCCCAAAAAACAAAUAAAUAAAUAAACAAGCAACAUUAAGGGAAAAAAAAAGGUUACGUAGCUUUUGUUUUAAACAUAUAUGAUAAAUAAGACAAUUUUCAAAAUUAAAUACAAUUAACUGAGAGACGAGGACUGAUACGAUAAAUUGAGCGAUAAAAAUUAAAAUAUCUCCUUGGUCGUUGCUGAUAGUUUUGACUUGUGAGUGUGAAAGCACAGAAGCCGUGUGUUGAAAGUAUGGUGUUCAUGUGGAAAUUUCAGCAAAAAGUCCACAAAGUAAAUUCAGUCAUCGUACAGUCCACGGUGCUUGGACAAUGAGAUGUUGAAAAAUUAUCACGGAACUUCAAGGGAGGUUCAUAGCAUCGAUUUAUUCUACAGAGUCACGCACAUUGGAUUCAAUAAUUGUUUUCCUCCCAUCAAAAUCGAUUUAUUCUAUGAGUAUGAAAGCACAGAAGCCGUAUGUUGAAAAGUCUGGUGUUCAUGUGGAAUUAAUCAAUCAUCGUGGAGUGCACGGUGGUUGGACAAUGAGAUGAAAUUCAAAAAUUAUCACGGUACUUGAAGGAAGGUUCAUGGCAUCGAUUUAUUCUACAGAGUCGUUCACAUUUAGUUCAAUAAUUGUUUUCAUCCGAAUCAAAAUAUCUCUCUAAUCAAUUCAACUGUUUCUGUUGAUUAUGGCUUCUUCUUCUCGAAACAACAAGAAGUAUGAUGUUUUUGUUAGUUUCAGAGGAGAGGACACCCGGGACAACUUUACUAGCCAUCUCUAUUCUGCUGUGUGUCGACAAAAUAUCCAAACUUUCAUUGAUGACCAACUUAACAGAGGAGAUGAAAUUUCGGAGUCACUUGUGAAUGCAAUUGAAGCAUCAGCCAUUUCAGUUAUCGUCUUCUCAGAGGGGUAUGCAUCUUCCAGAUGGUGUCUCGAUGAACUUGUCAAGAUCCUCGAGUGCAAGAAAGAGUAUGCACAGAUUGUGAUUCCGGUUUUCUAUCGGGUUGAUCCAUCACACGUGAGAAACCAAACUGGGAGUUUUGGGGAUUCAUUUUCGAAGCUCGAAGAAAGAUUAAAGGAGAAUACUGAGAAGCUGCGGAGUUGGAGGAAAGCGUUGAAGGAAGCAGCCAGUUUGUCUGGCUUUCAUUCUCUUAACAUCAGGUGAAAUUGAAAAGUUACCUUUAAUUUCUCAUACUAAUAUUUAACAAUAAAUAAAAUUCACGCAGCACUCUUAGUUAAAUUUCCAGAUGCUAAACUACAAUUUUAAAUAUUUUUAAGCAUCAAAUUCUUGACUUCCUCACUUUUGUGCUCUAUAAUUAUAAAAUAAUUUUGAUAGAAUUAAUAAUAAAAGCAAGAGAAUUUUACAAUAUAUAUCUAACAAAAUUAGUGGUGCUCUAUAGUUUUUUAAGCAAUUUCAACCUCUCACUCAUAUACCACGAUUAAAAAAAAAAAAAAAAAACUCACGCAUAUUCCUGCAACUUAAAAGUUAUCAAUUUAUUGUGAGAUUGUAGACUUAUAGUGGUAUAUAUUAAUUUCAAUAGGAAAAUUGACAAUCUACCUUAUUUCAUAUUUAAUGCAAAUUCCUCCUAUUAAUUAAUUUGAAGUUACCGCGGCUAAUUUUAUGUAUUUGCUAGGCGUGAGUCGGAACUUAUAAAUGAAGUUGUUAAUCACAUUUUGAAGAGAUUGGAUGAAGUGUUUCGGCCGCGUGAUAACAAAAACCAGCUGGUUGGAGUGGAAUCAAAAGUUGAGGAAAUUGAAUCUCUAUUGGGUGUUGAGUCUAAAGGUGUUUACGCUUUAGGGAUUUGGGGCAUUGGUGGUAUAGGCAAAACAGCAAUCGCUAGAGCUAUUUUCGACAAAAUCUCGGGUGAUUUUGAAGGUUCUUGCUUCCUCGAAAAUGUUAGAGAAGAGUCACAAAGACCAGGAGGAUUAGCUUGCUUACGACAAAAACUUCUUUCAAAUUUAUUGAAGGAUAAAAAUGCGAUUCCUGGUAUUGACCUCAAUUUUAGAAGGCUCAUCCACAUGAAGGUUCUGAUUGUUUUUGAUGAUGUGACUUGCUUCAGCCAAUUAGAAUCUUUAAUUGGAAGUCUUGAUUGGUUGACGCCUGUGAGUCGAAUCAUAAUAACCACCAGAAAUAAACAAGUGCUUAGAAAUUGGGGGGUGAGGAAAAUCUAUGAGAUGAAGGCAUUAGAAUAUCAUCACGCUAUUGAGCUUUUUAGUCGACAUGCCUUCAAACAAAACCAUCCUGAUGUUGGUUAUGAGGAACUUUCAAGCAAAGUAAUGAAAUAUGCUCAAGGUGUUCCUUUAGCUCUUAAAGUUUUGGGUUGCUUUCUACAUAAAAGGGAAAAAGAAGUCUGGGAAAGCGCAAUAGACAAAUUGCAAAGAAUCCUCCAUCCAAGUAUUCUAGAGGUAUUAAAAAUAAGUUAUGAUGAUUUGGACGAUAAAGAGAAAAGUAUUUUCCUUGAUGUUGCUUGUUUCUUUCAAGGUGAGCAUGUAAAUCCCAUAAUGAAAUUCUUUAAUGCAAGCGGCUUCUACCCAGAAAUAGGAAUAAUUGUUCUUGUUGAUAAGUCUCUCAUUGCUAUUGAUUCACACAAAAGGAUAACAAUGCAUGAUUUAUUACAAGAAUUGGGUAGGGAAAUUGUUCGACAAGAAUCAAUUAAUCUGAAAAACCGCAGUAGAUUGUGGCAUCAUGAGGAUAUCUACGAAGUUCUUACAUAUAAUAUGGUAAGCAGUCUGUUGUGGAUUAUUUUUUUGGAAUAUUGUAGUGUUUCAAAACUUGAUGUGAAUAUAUUUAUAUACGCUCGAGCAAAUGAGUCUUAGAAUUAACAGAAGAGUGACAAUGAUUAGAAACACAAUAGUGGUUAGAUGAUGUAGUAAUAAAUUAUAAAUGCGAUUGACAACUUGCAUAACCGUUUGCAAGCAUAAUUGAUAUAUAAAUUUGUAUAGUACACAUACAGAAUUUUUAUGUUAAGUAUUACUUGUGCUAUUAUAUUUCUUUGUGCAUUUGCAAUUAAGAGUUUAACUGCCUAGCAAUAACAAUAAACAUGAAUUAUUGAAAUUUAAUUUGAGUAAUGAUGGAGAACCCCACUCCAAUCUGACAUAAACGCCACACAAGGACAAAUUAAAGUUGAAUUAAUAACCAAGCUACCUUUAAUUGUGAAUGAGUGACAAACUUGCCCCAAAAAUUUGUCUUGGUGGAGCUGAAGUGUUAAUCAUUAGUGGAAUAUCAAUAUCAUUUUUCAUUUGAUGUUAACUUUAUUGAUUUUUUUAUUUAUUUUUAGGGGACAGAAAAAAUUGAGGGUAUCUGUUUGGAUAUGUCAAAAGUAAAAGAGAUCCAUCUAAAUCCCAAUAUUUUCACAAAGAUGCGUAAAUUGAGAUUUUUAAAAUUCUAUAGUUCAUCAUUCAAUGGGAAGAACAAAUGCAAGGUGUCUUAUUUGCAAGAACUCGGAUUUGCUGAAGUGAAAUAUCUUCACUGGCAUGGAUAUCCGUUGAAGUCAUUACCUUCAAACCUUAGUGCAGAGAAACUUGUGUUUCUUGAAGUGCCUAAUAGCGACAUUGAACAACUUUGGAAUGGUGUGAAGGUAUGUUUACCUUAAUAUAUAUGUGCAAUCUUUCAAUAAGAACGUUAAAUUAUCAUACAUAGUAAUGAUUUUAUCUUUGCCUCUUUUUUGACCGAGCAGCAUUAUAGUAAGUUAAACCAGCUAAUCCAUGGUGCCUGCAAGAAGCUAAUUGCCAAAACUCCAAACCCCACGUUGAUUCCACAUCUGAACAAGCUAGUUAUGUUGAAUCUAAGAGGUAGCAAAAGCCUGAAAAGUCUUCCAGCUGGAAUAUUUAAUUUGGAAUUUCUUACUGAACUUGAUCUUUCGGGUUGUUCAAAGCUGAAGAGGCUUCCAGAGAUCUCAUCUGGUAACGUAGGCAAGCUAUUUUUAAGUGGAACUGCAAUUGAAGAACUACCCUCAUCAUUUGAGCUUCUACUUAGGCUUUGGUUGUUAGACCUUUCAGAUUGUAAAAGGCUUAAGAGUCUCCCAAGCAGCCUCUGUAAGUUGAAGUCUCUUGGACUUCUUAGUCUCCGUGGUUGCUCAAAUCUUCAGAGAUUGCCCGAAUGUCUUGGCCAAUUAUCCUCGCCAAUAAUAUUGAAUGUAGCGAAAACCAAUAUUGAGAGAAUACCACAAAGCAUUAUCCAACUUUUCGUGUCGGGAUACCUCCUCUUAAGUUAUGGUGAGAGGUUCCAAUCCGUACAAAAGCCUUCAUUCCUUGAACGAGGUUGCUUGGCACUGCAACCAUUUUUAGGUUUGUUCUCUAAGUUAUGAAUCUUACAGGCAAUUUUUUUUUACCGGAGCAAUAAUUUUAAAUUGGAAGGUAAUUCUACUGCAGGAAUUGUUGCAGAUACCCUGAGAAUUCAGCAUACGAACUAUAUGCCAGCCAUACAUUGGCUAGGAAUAUGGCAAGAAGUAUGGCUAAAUGUGUGUCUUUAACUCUCUCUAUUUACAAUUUCUACAAUCUUUGUUUUUUUUUUGGGUUUAAAAUUAUGUUUUUUUGGUACAGAGAGGUUUUUCCAUGGGCAAAGGUCAUAUAGUACUACCUGGGAAUGAAAUUCCAAAGUGGUUUGAGUUUCAAAGUGUGGGAUCUUUUAUAACCUUGGAGAUGCCGCCAGAUUCCUUCAAUAAUAGCAGGGUGCAGGGCAUUGCAUUUAGUGCUAUUUUAGCAUUUUCAGACCGUCAUGUAGAUUGUAGCAGAUGGUUUUCAUUUUCUUUUGAGCUCAAAGUGAAAACCACCAAAGAUUGUGGUACGCAUGACACACGAUUAUUUCAUAGCAGAGUUAAUUAUGUAGAAUCAGAUCACUUACAUUUGGGGCACUAUCUGUUCUGUGAAGAGGAUUUUAAUGGUUUUUGGAAAUGCAAUUGCAUUCUUGAGGCUGUCCACUUUAAUGUUUUUCCACCUUUGGAGUGCCAGUGCUGCGGGGUGAAAAAAUGUGGGAUCCAUUUACUUCACACCCCAGAUCCUACGUCAAUGGAAGACCCAAGCACAUGUUUCAACUGUAACGAAGAAGACUGAGAUAGGUGUCAUUUUCACUCAACUCACCUGAGUUGUGAAUCCAUUUGCUUAAACAUGUAUGCACUUUUUCAAGUAUCUCUACCAAUUCCAUAUUUGGAAUGGUGCAUUUGAUUCCAUAGUUGAUGUGAUAUCGUCUAUGGUUAGAAUUUAUAUUUACAAAAUGACUUGUAAGGAAAGGAUUGAAGAUGCCUGUGAACUUAUAUUUCGAUUUAGAUUAUUGUAUCUUUUUCAUGUAUAAAAUUGGAUCCUAUCAUUCACAUAUCAUUGACAUGAGCAAUAUGGAUUACUAAAUCAUUAUUCUUUAUUAUUGUGCUGAAUUUGAUUUUUUAUUGAAUAAUUUGAUAUAUUUCUUUAAUCAAUUUGGAGCUUCUACAACUUGUCAGAGAUCAGUUUCUCCAACAUUCCUUUCGGUGCCAAAAGAUAACCAAGCGGUUGAAUAAGAAUUGAUAUAUACAACAUAAAUAGAAGAGUUGUUUUGUCUUUUUACAAUAGGAAUAAUAUUUAAUGCUCGUUAAAACUUGCUGAUGAGAAAGUAAAUUUCUCAGAAAUUAAAUGUUUCAGCCAACCAAGGAAGCAUCUUUUCAUGGACCAACUCAGGCCUGUCGUCAUGGGGGCAAUGUCCUACUCCUUCCAAUACAAUUAACUUCACAUUUGAGAGUUUAGAAGGCAGAUAUGAGAAGUAUUUACCAACAGGUCCAUCGAGGGGUGUGAAUGGAUCCUCAUCACCCCAUAAAACUAGUACAUGUAUAGAGAUUGAUGGCAUCAAUUGAACUGGGUUCGGCCCUGGUGGGCCUGUUACAAUCGAAACAAAUGCAUCAAGUGCCCCUUCCUCAUUGGCAGGCUCUCGUAUGAUCUGCAGUUUUGAGGUUGAUACCUCAACCAGUGUUUCAUCCACAGAUUCCUUAUUUGCAUAGAUCGACAGUAAAAUAUUCCUCAGUGAUUCCCUGAAGCACCAAUGUAUACACAUCAUAGAUUUUUUUAAUUUUGACUCUAGUGUUUUAGGAUAAUGAACAAUGGACUGAAUAAAGAGAAGAGAAAAUACCUUUGUUUCACACGCUCAAAUAUAGCAGAAGCAAUUGGCCUUUGCUUCAACAAAAAAUCAAUGAACCAAAGCAAUGGUAACAAUAGCUUGAUUCUCCAAUCAUCAACAAUUGCCUUGUUGUUCAUGCCACCAGCACAAUUCAACAGAACAAGCCCUCGAACAAGGGGUUGACUAGAUUCUUAUGGUAGAAAAUAUAGCAGGUUUAUCGUAAACCAUAGAUACCAAAAAGAUAAUUAGGGACAGUGUUUCUUUUGCAACAGUUGAAGAAUAUCUGAUGUCCAAGGGGANNNNNNNNNNNNNNNNNNNNNNNNNNNNNNNNNNNNNNNNNNNNNNNNNNNNNNNNNNNNNNNNNNNNNNNNNNNNNNNNNNNNNNNNNNNNNNNNNNNNAGGCAGCAAUAACACAAGCUAGGCUUCCAACAGAGUUACCUAUAAGCACAGUUGGCUUCUUAACAACUUCAUCCAAUAAAUCCAAUAUUAUCUGUAUCAGUGAAUCUCACUCAAGUUAGCAAGGAAAAUAACUAAAGGUUAAGUGAUUGAUGACGUAAGUACAUAGAAAGAUCCAACUUCUGGGUAGGGAACAUUGCACACCUGAACCCAUGCCUCCCUGGUAUAUGAAUAACCAGCUGGCUUAUCUGAAGCACCAAAUCCAAGAAGGUCAAUUGCAUAAACCGUGUAGCUCUUCGCCAGGGUGCCGAUAUUCCUGAAAUUACCUCAGAGAUGACAAGAAAAAUAUCAAUUCCUCACAUUAUUUAAUAGGAUAAAGGAGUAGUGAACACACAAAUUGUCAUUCCCCUCUUCUACGAAGCGGUAAAAUGAAUACUUUUUCACUAGAUUAAGAAUUGGAAAAUGGAAGAAGCCUAUACCCAUAAAAGGGUAAUAUGAAAUGGAACCCUGAAAUUCAGAUCACUGGUUUGUCAUCAUCUAGGUGCAAGGAAUAGAACUAAGUGUUAAUGCCAAUGCACCAUGAAAUAAUGAAUAGACUUUACUUUCAUUAUUCUUUUGCUUCAUUGAUCUUAAUUAAUUAUUAGAAGUAUAACACAUAUAAAUCCAUCCCUGGAGUUCAUAAUACAUAACAGAGUCAGAGAUAUUACAUACAUAAGUGUUUGAGGGAAAUACUUCGGUGAGACCAGACGUGAUGAACAGAUGUUUGGUGGCAGAAUUCUGCGAGCAGGUGUCUCCUGUAAGAGCCAGGUAGCAAGGGAACAGGAGCAGGAAUAUUCUGCUCGUCCACGAAUAUGCCAUUCGCGAGGCCGAACCCUUGCUAGAGGCAUAGGGUCACUCCCGCUAGGGUUCGAGGAGAGGAGACCCGGUCAACGGCAGUUGGCGAGACGUGCCUUCCUAUCCGAGAAUCAAGGCACGAGGUCCAUCUCCAUUCGCCCAUCAUGACGAUAAUGGGACAUCCACAUCCGAGCAUGGGGAGAACAACGGGCGUAAGCUGCGGAAGACCGGGACUCAGAGGAAGCCUAUAAAAAGGUAGCCAACGAAGGUAAAAGGGUUAGCAAUUUUGAGAUUAGAAGAGAAAUAAAAGCAAUUCUAAAGAAGAGAAAACUACCCAAAAGCCAUAAAAUCUGUGGCAAGCAUUCCCCGAACCUUCAUAUCUGACUUGAGCGUCGGAGGGUUUGUGCCGGGAAAACAACCGGCGUACUCUGACCUGUCUGUGUGCGCAGGAACCUCUGGAGAAGAAUCUUUACGAGGAGAGAUCCUGGUCGUGGUGAAGUUGAUCGAGCAGAGACCCUGGUCGUAGAACGAGGACAACCAGAAUCUCGCAUCAACAUUUUGGCGCCGUCUGUGGGGAGCUGAGCAAAAAGCUUCUGUUGAUAGCAAGAAGAGAAGGGAAGCAGCUGAAAAGCAAUGGAGACAGGAGGAAGUAGUACACAAGGGGGUGAUAUGAGGCUUAACGAUUCCGUAACGCUGAGGGAGAUAGCCAGUGAAGCACGGGAAAAAGCCAUGUUCGACCGAAUGGAACGGAUGGAAAAGCAGAUGGAGACCUUGACAACCAUCCUGCAUGAGCUGCGAAGCGAACGAAGGGUAACCCAGGAAGAAAGGGUGAGAGGUGAUAGAGUGGCACCAGGUCCGGAUAAUACGAGGAGAAGUCAGACCAUCGGGAGAUUUGGUGAGGAAAGAGGUAACAUACCCCAGCGAGGAGAAUUCCAUAGAGAGGGAGAGCAGUCCCCGGCAAGACAGAUUUUUGACGAGGACGAUGGGGUGGCGAACGCAGAGGAAACAGUGCUGAGGCAACAUUUACAUAAUGUAGAGCAAGAGCGGGAUCAAGUUGCAGCACGUGACCCUAGUCGUGCAGUGCAGCUGGAGGAGGAAGUGCGCAGACUAGCGCAGAUAAUUGACGACAUGCAAGGGAGGAGCAGAGCUCCUGGUUGGAGGAUAAUGCUGGACGGAGAAUCACUGCUCGCAGCAGAGAUCAUGAGGGCAGUUAUUCCGAGAGAUUUCCGCCUCCCAGACCUAAAAUAUUCGGGAAGAACUGAUCCGCUGGUACACAUAGAGCGCUUCAACGACAUAACUGGGGUACAAGAAUUAUCUCAAUCCCAAAGGUGCAGAGUGUUCCCACUAUCCCUUGAGGGACGUGCACGAGAGUGGUACAGGAAACUUCCUCGGGGCAACAUUAAAACCUUCGAGCAAAUGUGCCAGGAAUUUGCGGAGCAGUUUAGUGGGGCAAUGGCACCAGAAGAUGACAUGAUGGAGCUGAAAAGCAUGAAACGGGGAGAGCAAGAAACCCUUCGGGAAUUCAUCAAGAGGUUUCAUCGUGCUGUCCUCGACUUGGGAGCCUUCAACCACCCUCAGUCGUUAAGGGGGUUGAAAGAAGGGGUGAAGAUAGGAAGGCUGUGGUACAACUUAAGAAGCCCAAUUAUUCAGACGUAUGCGGCCGCAUACGAGCAGGCUAAGAGAGACAUUGAGAUUGAAGAGGAGAAGGCCGCACAGAUUAAAACAGACCAGUUAGAAGGGUUGGGGAGGAAAUAGAAGAGAGCAUUACCAGGGAAUGGGCCGAUCAGGAGGAGGGACCACCAGACCUCGGGUAGUGGAGCAGGAGGUCGGGUAACUGCUUACCAACCCCAUCAGAGGCCACCACAGUAUCAGCGCAGCAGGGCGCAACCUCCUCGUUCCCCAGCUAGGGAGCCUUGGAGAAGACAUGAUUCGGCAUAUGGUGGUCUUCAUCAACAUUCCCACGGUAGCAGAGGGAGCAGACCAGAAUUACUGCCAACGCCCUCAACUCAGAACGGAGCAAACAGAGAAAGAGCAGUGCACCUGAUCGACCAGAACCAGGACUAUGGGCGGUAUACUUCCUUGAAGAUGUCCCUGGAUGAGGUGUAUGAAGCCAUAAAGGAUCGAGGGCUGCUGUACCUCCCUGCCCCAAUAACAAAGCCAUCCAGCAGGAGGGAUAGGGGACGCUAUUGUAAGUUCCAUGGCACUCAUGGCCACACCACAGCAGAUUGCAAGGAUCUCAGGACCCAGGUUGAAGAUUUGGUGAGAAAUCGGUAUCUGGACGAGUUUAUAGAUGGGACAUUCCCAAUGGUAGCAUCAACAAAUGAAGGGGAGCAGAGUGACAGGAAUUUGAGGCGCGAGCAGCCUACAGUAAGGGUGAUAGCUGGGGGGCCCAACAUUGGCUGGAGAUUCCAACAGGUCGAGGAAGAAUUAUGCUAGAUACGCCAUGAUCGGCAAAGAGGUAUUCUUCAACACCCCAGCAGCCAAACGUGCAAGAGUUAGGCAAGUGCCAAUCAUGUGGACAGAUGAGGAUGAGGAAGGGAUUUUAUACCCUCACGAGGAUGCUUUGGUCAUCAAGGCCACUGUUGCUAGCAAGAAGUUUGACAGGAUACUGGUUGACACAGGGAGCUCAGUUGACGUAUUGUUUAAGUCAACCCUGGAGGAGAUGGGAAUAGCAGACCGGAAGUUGGAAUAUACCAACACCUCCUUGAAAGGGUUUGAAGGAGGAAAGCUGAUCCCUCUGGGCCUGGUCGAGCUGCCUAUCACAAUUGGGAGCUCCCCGACAGAAAGGACAAUGAUGCUGGACUUUGUGGUGGUAGACGAAGAAGGCCCUUACCAGAUGAUCCUAGGCCGGCCAUUUCUGAGGAUGAGCAAAGCGGUGCUGUCCAACCAUUAUCUGGCUCUGAAGUACCGGGUGAAUGGGGUAGUUGGAGUGGUACGAGGAGACCAGAGGAUCACAAGAAGCUGCUACUCCUCGGCAGCAAGGGAAGCAAUGCAGAUAACAUCCCUCGAUACCCGAGUAGAAAACAAGAAGGGCCAUAUAGAGUCAAGCAGAUGGUGGGACCCGGAGCUUACAAGUUGGUUCGCACGGACGGCCACGAGGUGAAACGCCCAUGGAACGCAGCACACCUCCGAAAAUACUUCCAGUAAGACUUGUUCACAUUUUAAAGCAAUUUCUGCUCGUGCUCUUUAUCUUUUAUUUUUAUGUUUUACGUCAAAGCAAGUUCAUGUAAAAUCAAAACCUGCAAUUAAUGGAACGUCGAGGAAUGUCAUUCACUUGAAACUGUGAUAAAUUUUCUAAGGCAUGCAAAGGCUCGUGAAGUCUCAAGGCCUGUUUUAUGGCGAGACAGAAGCCAAGCAUGCCAGGAUCUGCUCGACCACGUGAAGGCGAGCAGAAUCCCCAAGCAUCGAAGAAGUCACUAAGGCAUGCAAAGGCUCACCAAGUCUCAAAGCCUGUUUUAUGGCGAGACAGAAGCCAAGCAUGCCAGGAUCUGCUCGGCCACGAGAAGGCUAGCAGAAUCCCAAGCUUUGAAGAAAUCAUCUAAGGCAUGCAAAGGCUCACCAAGUCUCAAAGCCUGUUUUAUGGCGAGACAAAAGCCAAGCAUGCCAGGAUCUGCUCGGCCACGAGAAGGCUAGCAGAAUCCCAAGCUUUGAAGAAAUCAUCUAAGGCAUGCAAAGGCUCGUCAAGUCUCAAAGCCUGUUUAUGGCGAGACAGAAGCCAAGCAUGCCAGGAUCUGCUCGGCCACGAGAAGGCUAGCAGAAUCCCAAGCUUUGAAGAAAUCAUCUAAGGCAUGCAAAGGCUCGACAAGUCUCAAAGCCUGUUUAUGGCGAGACAGAAGCCAAGCAUGCCAGGAUCUGCUCGGCCACGAGAAGGCUAGCAGAAUCCCAAGCUUUGAAGAAAUCAUCUAAGGCAUGCAAAGGCUCACCAAGUCUCAAAGCCUGUUUUAUGGCGAGACAGAAGCCAAGCAUGCCAGGAUCUGCUCGACCACGUGAAGGCGAGCAGAAUCCCCAAGCAUCGAAGAAGUCACUAAGGCAUGCAAAGGCUCAUCAAGUCUCAAAGCCUGUUUCAUGGCGAGACAGAAGCCAAGCAUGCCAGGAUCUGCUCGACCACGUGAAAGCGAGCAGAAUCCCCAAGCAUCGAAGAAGUCACUAAGGCAUGCAAAGGCUCACCAAGUCUCAAAGCCUGUUUUAUGGCGAGACGGAAUCCAAGUAUGCCAGGAUCUGCUCAACCACGUGAAGGCGAGCAGAAUCCCCAAGCAUCGAAGAAGUCACUAAGGCAUGCAAUGGUUCACCAAGUCUCAAAGCCUGUUUUAUGGCGAGACAGAAGCCAAGCAUGCCAGGAUCUGCUCGACCACGCAAAGGCGAGCAGACUCCAAAGCAUUCGAAAAAUUUUCAAAGGCAUGUAAAGACUCGCCAAUUCUCAAAGCCUGUUUUAUGGCGAGACAGAAGCCAAGCGUGCCAGGAUCUGCUCGACCACACGAAGGCGAGCAGAAUCUCAAGCAUUGAAGAAUUUUCCAAGGCAUGUGGCGAAACCAUAUGCCAAGCCAGAACUUGCUCAAUCAGACGAAGACGAGCAGAUUCUCAAACGAAAAAUAACUCAUGAUUACAACACAAGAAAGUAAUCAAAAAACAUUUUUUAAUUUGUUAAUAAUUAACAGAGGAGAGAAUCUUCACUAACAUGGUUCAUUACAAGACAAGAAAUAUAUCAAGAAGAUGGUGGAUCAGUAAGCCGAGCAGUGUCGGCGGGCUGGGCCUCCUCAGGUGCGGGGGGGGUAUCACCAGUUGCGUCUGGGGGGUGCUCGCCUCGCCAACAUCAACAGGGAUUGCACGAGGAGGAGAGCUUUCCUCCUCAAUCACGAUUGGCUCCACCCCUUGGGCAUUUUCCUUGGCAGCCUUUUCCAGUCCCACGCGACCAAGAACCACUGAGUUUCUACUGCUGGUCCAUUACAUUACCCAACACCAGAAACUGGGGGACCGGUGUUUGAGGGAAAUACUUCGGUGAGACCAGACGUGAUGAACAGAUGUUUGGUGGCAGAAUUCUGCGAGCAGGUGUCUCCUGUAAGAGCCAGGUAGCAAGGGAACAGGAGCAGGAAUAUUCUGCUCGUCCACGAAUAUGCCAUUCGCGAGGCCGAACCCUUGCUAGAGGCAUAGGGUCACUCCCGCUAGGGUUCGAGAAGAGGAGACCCGGUCAACGGCAAUUGGCGAGACGUGCCUUCCUAUCCGAGAAUCAAGGCACGAGGUCCAUCUCCAUUCGCCCAUCAUGACGAUAAUGGGACAUCCACAUCCGAGCGUGGGGAGAACAACGGGCGUAAGCUGCGGAAGACCGGGACUCAGAGGAAGCCUAUAAAAAGGUAGCCAACGAAGGUAAAAGGGUUAGCAAUUUUGAGAUUAGAAGAGAAAUAAAAGCAAUUCUAAAGAAGAAAAAACUACCCAAAAGCCAUAAAAUCUGUGGCAAGCGUUCCCCGAACCUUCAUAUCUGACUUGAGCGUCGGAGGGUUUGUGCCGGGAAAACAACCGGCGUACUCUGACCUGUCUGUGUGCGCAGGAACCUCUGGAGAAGAAUCUUUACGAGGAGAGAUCCUGGUCGUGGUGAAGUUGAUCGAGCAGAGACCCUGGUCGUAGAACGAGGACAACCAGAAUCUCGCAUCAACAAUAAGGUAAAGACAUGCUCCAUACAAAAAAAAAUUAUUACAGUCGAAAGUACCCAGAACAUAAUUUGAAUUGAAUUCACAAUAAAGGAGCUACAUUUUUUUGCACUCAAUAAUCAACCCACUAGACAAUUCACAACAAGAAAGAGCAAUCUUAUCUCGCUAACCUGUGCCAGUGAGGAAUGGGGGUACCAAAGCCAUGGACAAGGAGUAGAGGAGGAGAAUCGGGAUGUGAAUUUGGAGUUGAAGAAACCAAGUAAUUGAUGGAGUACUGACCCUUCCAUUUCCACAUUUUGCAACUCUCCCUUAUCUCAUUAACCUCCAGUUCUAGUGCAGCAGAAGCAGAAUCCCCUCCACUGCUACUGUUAGUAUAACUGAUGGUAACAUUUUGUCUCUUCUUCUUCUCCUUAUUCCUCUGCUGCAACUCCAACUGCAACUGAAACUGCCAACUCUUAUUGCUCAAUAGGGGCAAGCGCAGGCCUUUUACAUCUCCAUUUCCAUUUCCAAUCCUGAGUGUUGUUAUUGAAAUAAUGAAAGAGGGAGCCCGAGCCCUUACCAUCCACACGCUCAUUCUUUUCUUGCUUUUUCAAUUGAAUAUUUUCUGUGGCCUGGCUUGGUCUGCUCCUCCCCUGCUUCCACCUCUAUGAGACUGUGGCUAUGACAAAAACUUUUUAUGUCCUUAUUUAUUUAUUGGGCUUGUUCCACUAUUAUAUGAAAAUUUUACUGAUAUUCCUCAAAAAUCAAAAUGACAAUACUUCGUCUAAAAAAUAAUUAUAAAACAUACAUGCUAUGUUUUAAAAUUUUCAAACAAAGAAGAACUUAGUAGAGUUAAUUAACUAGAUUUAUUUUAGUUUACUUUCUUGUGAUUUAGAUUAUUUUAUUAUAUUUAGCUACAAAGAUUAUUUUGUCAUGAGUUUAAAUUGAUUGUUUUACCCUUAUAAGGUAAAACUAUUAAGAAUUUACUUAAUUUCAAUAUUUUUCUAAUUUUAUUCCAAACUCAUUGUUUCUAAUACUACUUUACUAGUAUGAGUUUUAAUCUUUAAUUAAACUAAAAUAGUAUCUUUAGGGCACGAUACUCAUGUAAAUUAUUGGGAUGUCAAUUUUAUGUUAUUUACACACUAAAGUAGAGAAAAUCACAAUUAAAUUUUAUUUUAAAAUAUUAUAUUAUAAGCCACAAAAUUAGAUACAUAAAUUAUUAGAUAAAAUAACUCGUGUUUAUUAUGGUAAUUUAGUCGCUAUAUAUCAUAAUUAUAAAAUACUAAAAUAAAACUUGUAUUAAAGUUUAUGAUUAAAGAUGGUCAAAGAACCCAAGAAGAAAAUCGAUAGAAGGAUCUAAUUUAUUAACUAUACGAAAUUUUUAUUAAUUUGUAUUUUUUAAAAAAUAUUGUGAAUUCAUUGCAAUUAAUAUCUAGAAAUAGGGUGGAUUUAUAAAAAUAGUGGGGUGUAAAUAACCUUAUCCAAAUACUCCAUAAAAAGUGAAAAUUAUUACCCUUUUCGAUGUACUUCUCUUAAAUUUUUUAUUCCUAAGGAUAAACUUCAAUUCAUUCCCAAAUAAAAUGAUAAUCUCUAAUUUGCUCUCAAUGAAACCUCAAUUUAUUCUUUAUUUUCGUCCAAAAGAUGAGGGGCAAAUAAGAAAUGUAUUGAUGGAUUUCUUUUUUUUAAUCUUCUUAACAAUAAAUGGGGUAAAUUAAUAUUUUUCUACUUUUAGGUGAUAAAUUAAAGAUUUUCAUUCUGAAUUGGGGGCAAAUUAAAAUCUAUCUUAUUUCUAAAGGCACCAUGUGACUAUUUUGCCUAACCAAGAGAACCAUUAUUCAAACACCAAUCGCAUUUUUUUUUUAACAAACACACUUUCAUUUAUUCUUUAAGCUUUUUUUUUUCCCAAAAAAUGAUGAAUAGAUAUUGAAAAUUUUGUUUUCAUUUUUUUAUUGAAAAAAUGAAAAACAACAAAGAUUACUGCUUCCUUGUCCAUACUUUUUCGUCCUAUAUUACCUUAAUUUUAAUCGUUUUCUCUAUUUUUAUUUUUAUAGUCCAAUUCUGAAAAUACACUAUUAGACACAUUUUUAAAUUUAAAAACACAAAACAUAGUGCAUCAUUUUCAUUAUAGGCAUUAACACCUGACGUACACAUUCUCCAAAUGGGAUUAAUGGAAAAAAAAUAAAUAAAUAAAGGUGAGUCCUUCGGCCAAUCUUAUAGGUUCUAACGUUUUGAAGGUAAGUUUUAUCUUGUAACAUUCCCACAAAAUUUAAAAUCAACUGGGACGAAAAUUUUGAAAAUACUAUGAUUAGCACAAGCAUUUCAACAAUAGAGGAUGUAAUAAAAGCUCAUUGAGUUGAAACUUGAAAGCAAAAUUAGGGCAAGGUCAUUUCUUUAAAAGAAUAAGGCAAGAUGCACGACAUGAAAUACCUGUGCCAAGCCUCAAAAGAUUCACCAAGCCCAGUAUUUUGCUUGCCCACGGCAUAAUUACACUUGGCUUCCCAAACAAAUAAUUGCUGGAGCUCGGACAAUGCUAGUAUUCAAUUUAACUUCAUAAAUAUCAGCCGGAGCAUAAUUACACUUGGCUCCCUAACAAAUAAUGCUGGAGCUCGGACAAUACGAGUAUUCAAUUUAACUGUACAUAGAUGCGCGGGGUUUUGGGGGUAAGUAAAAAGACGUGCCACUAUCAGUUGAGGAGUGCAUAAGAGAGUUACAUCUAUCAAAUACUAUCCGGCCCCCUCGGCCAAUUCUUCCAUGAAAUUUGUGAGUUCGUGCUAUAGUGCCAUUCCUCGUAGAAGAAUCUGACGGCGGAACAAUACCUGCAGCGUCCAAUUUUUCUGGCACAAGGGGUUUUGUGAACAACAAAACUGGCUCGAGAGGAUCCUGAAACCCCACAGUUACAUUUUCAAAAUGAUGCACUGCUGAUAUUCAGAAAUAAAACAAGGAUAAAACAUUUUCUAAAGUUUACUUAAAUCAUUUUUCUUUCCAACCACAGAUAGGUCAAUAAGUCAAAUAUGUGAGGAAAAAUACUAAAGAAACUGAAGCUGACAGAGGGCAGGCAGAAUUAACUACAAAACCACCAGAUUUAUCGUGUUCUUGUCCUGUUAAUUAAUUGUUUUCAAUUAACACGGUAACCCGGCUCGGGUGUUAACUCUGUUUCUGUCAGUGCUCUGUUGAAUAUUUCUGUUUAAAAAUCAGCACUCCCAUGUAAGUAGUAUGGCAGCAGCAAAAUAUCAUGUGUAAUAAUUAGGCUACUGGUUCUGGGUCCAGGAAUCGAGAUAAUCAGAUUAGGUGCAAAAGCUAUAUGUACCGAUUUAUGUAGCCAUGCAUAAUAUAUUCAUUUUUUACUUGCAAAUUCUUCCUUUUCACAACUUUAGGUACAACUUUUCCUUUCCUUUUGAAGGCCCACUCCACUGGCAUAGAGAGUAAAAAGAGUUUCUUAUUAAUAAUUUUAGGAGGAUGCUUCUGCCACGACAAGUAAAACCAUAAACAAAUGAUUUCACCACAUUUCAAGAAAGCAUUUAACUUAUGCCUCAUUUUCAUUCUAGCAAUUUGCUUGCCAUUGGCUGAUUGGAAAAAGUGCAUUUAAGUUAUAGAUUACUGUCAACCUAUAGCACGAAUAGGGGUUAAACAAAGUAAAUCCCUACCUUUACAUGUCAAAUAAAAGACUUUCAUAAUCAACUAUCAAAACUCAUGUCUAGUAAAGGAUUCCCCAAUGCUGGCUCUCAAAAUUGCUUUUGUUUCAUGGAUGAGAUGAUCGAUUUUGUGGAUAUUCUGCUCAACUUGGAUUAUGACUUGGGUCAGAUCCCAACUUGCUGCAAAGCUCACCUGACUAAAUCUUAGUUGAUUUGCUUUUCCAAACUAAAUCCAAGCAAGUAAGUACAAGAGAUAAAAGCAAAAGUUCAAGCAUCUCAUUUGAGCCUGUCACUAACAAAUGGUCAACAAGCAAUGUCUAGCUAUGACUGAGCAACAGAAUCAAUAAACAGACNNNNNNNNNNNNNNNNNNNNNNNNNNNNNNNNNNNNNNNNNNNNNNNNNNNNNNNNNNNNNNNNNNNNNNNNNNNNNNNNNNNNNNNNNNNNNNNNNNNNAAAUCAUAUAUAUAUAUAUAUAUAUGUAUGUAGGUAGGUAUAGGUAUAUGUAUAUGUAUGAUCAUUCAUUUCUCAAUCAACCACCAAAUUGAUGUCAACAAAGCCAUGAGGAUUGUCUCACAAGUCUUUCAAUUUCCCUCUCUUUAGGCCAGAGACCAGUAAACCAUUUGAAAUAUGGAUGUGCAAACCAGUAAAUAAAUCAUGAAGUUACACACUAGUCUGCUUUCGCACUCAUUCAGAACUAUCAAUGAUACUUACUGCAGGUACGGUGUAUACAUUAUACUAAAGUGAAGGCUGGAUCAAUAAGAAAUUCAAAAUGUUUCAUCACAUUUGGGGCUUGAUGAUGCCAAAAAAAGACCAUACCAAUUAUGAUGAACAGUAAAAUGUGAACAAGAACAAGCAUACAUUUAGGAAAGCAGAGAAGCAUCAUUAAAAUAAAGUAUUCUUCUUACUAUUCUAUGUUGUUGGAAAAUGGACCAAAAUAAAAAAGAAACCAUAUAUGGUUAACGUCACAACAAGAGUAUUUGUGCAUUUGUACAUCAUAGGAUAUUGGGAAGACAUCAGCAGAGAAGUGCAAAUUUUUUUUUUUU
rnacentral:lncRNA from 1 species